GACGAACGCUGGCGGCGUGCUUAACACAUGCAAGUCGAACGGAAAGGCGCUGCUUUUGUGGGGUGCUCGAGUGGCGAACGGGUGAGUAACACGUGAGUAACCUGCCCUUGACUUUGGGAUAACUUCAGGAAACUGGGGCUAAUACCGGAUAGGAGCUCCUGCUGCAUGGUGGGGGUUGGAAAGUUUCGGCGGUUGGGGAUGGACUCGCGGCUUAUCAGCUUGUUGGUGGGGUAGUGGCUUACCAAGGCUUUGACGGGUAGCCGGCCUGAGAGGGUGACCGGCCACAUUGGGACUGAGAUACGGCCCAGACUCCUACGGGAGGCAGCAGUGGGGAAUAUUGCACAAUGGGCGGAAGCCUGAUGCAGCAACGCCGCGUGCGGGAUGACGGCCUUCGGGUUGUAAACCGCUUUCGCCUGUGACGAAGCGUGAGUGACGGUAAUGGGUAAAGAAGCACCGGCUAACUACGUG
rnacentral:rRNA from 1 species